CCCUAAAUGACCGCUCAGUGAUAAAGGAGGUGGGGGUGCAAAGACAGCCAGGAGGUUUGCCUAGAAGCAGCCACCCUUUAAAGAGUGCGUAAUAGCUCACUGAUCGAGCGCCCUUGCGCUGAAGAUGAACGGGGCUAAGCGAUCUGCCGAAGCUUUGGGAUGUCAAAAUGCAUCGGUAGGGGAGCGUUCCGCCUUAGAGGGAAGCAACCGCGAAAGCGGGGGUCGACGAAGCGGAAGCGAGAAUGUCG
rnacentral:ncRNA from 1 species